rnacentral:lncRNA from 1 species
UGAUUUGUUAAACCUUAUUAAAAAUGUGUUUCAUGUAGAAAAUGUAUAUAUUGGCAAAGUCUACAAAAAGAAAGAAAAAAAAUGGAAUCUCAAAAAAUGAAAUCUCAAAAAAAAAAAAAAAAAAAUCUCAAAAAGGAUAAGACAAAAAAUGUAAAAGAAAAAACAAUCAAACAUGUUCUUAAAUUUAUAUAUACUAGUGAAAAUUGUGAUUUAAAAAAUAAAGUCCUUUCUAACGAAAACGAAAUUAAUAAUAUGUUCUUACAAGUGACUAAAAAUAAGGAAACAGAUUUCCUUUUUCUAAAAACUUAUUUAUUUCAUAAUAUAAUAAAAAAAAAAUUUAUAUAUGAGGAUCUGCAUGAAAAUUUAUUUUUUAAUAUAAACCCAUUUUAUGAAAACAUAAACCAGUUAAAAAAAGUAAAAAAAGAAAUAUACAAUUAUGCAAAAAUGGAGGAAAAAAAAAAGUUACUGAAGAUGGUGACGGUGAUGAAGAUGGUAACGGUGAUGAAGAUGGUAACGGUGAUGAAGAUGGUNNNNNNNNNNGAUAAGUCUAGUGAUGGUGAUGAUAAGUCUAGUGAUGGUGAUGAUAACUCUAGUGAUGGUGAUGAUAAGUCUAGUGAUGAUGGUGAUAAGUCUAGUGUCGACGAUGAUGAGGUUAGUAACGACGAUAACCAGGAUAACAAAAACAACAACAGUUCUAAUAACAAACAAGAAUCAAAAGAGUUUUCAAAAUUAGAUAAAACAAAAGAUAAUAUACAUAUAAGUGAAGAAGAUAAAUUACAAAAUAAUUUACUUAAAACUUUACUUUUAAAUGCUAAUUAUAAUUUUAUAUAUAUUUAUGAAGUUAUGGAAAAACAUAACUCCUUUUUAUAUACUUAUACAAAACCAGGAGAUUUCAUCUUAAUUCCAAUAGUAUAUGAAACAUAUUACAAUUUAACUUUUUUAAAUGAAAUAUAUGAAUUCGAAAAAAAAAAAUAGUACAAUCGGACACAGUCAAAAAUGUCAUAGGUGCGGUAUUUUUUUUUUUUUUUUUGCCAUCACCACUUUCUUGCUAUUACUACUGUUUAACCAUUAUUACUGUUUAAACAUUACUUUUUUUUUGCCAUUACUUUUUUUUUGCCAUUACUUUUUUUUUGCCAUUACUUUUUUUUUGCCAUUACUUU